rnacentral:rRNA from 1 species
UACGUAGGGUGCGAGCGUUGUCCGGAAUUAUUGGGCGUAAAGAGCUCGUAGGCGGUUUGUUGCGUCUAUCGUGAAAACCUGCAGCUUAACUGUGGGCUUGCGGUGGAUACGGGCAGACUUGAGUUCGGUAGGGGAGACUGGAAUUCCUGGUGUAGCGGUGAAAUGCGCAGAUAUCGGGAAGAACACCCGUGGCGAAGGCGGCUCUCUGGGACGGUACUGACGCUGAGACGCGAAAGCGUGGGGAGCGAACAGG